UAAGGUUAAGUUAAUAAGGGCGCACGGUGGAUGCCUUGGCACUAGGAGCCGACGAAGGACGUGACAAACGACGAUAUGCCUUGGGUAGCUGUAAGUAAGCGAUGAUCCAGGGAUUUCCGAAUGGGGGAACCCAACAGGUAAUACCUGUUACCCACAUCUGUUAAGGAUGUGAGGAGGAAGACGCAGUGAACUGAAACAUCUAAGUAGCUGCAGGAAGAGAAAGCAAAAGCGAUUGCCUUAGUAGCGGCGAGCGAAACGGCAGAAGGGCAAACCGAAGAGUUUACUCUUCGGGGUUGUAGGACUGCAAUGUGGACUCAAAGAUUAUAGAAGAAUGAUUUGGGAAGAUCAGCCAAAGAGAGUAAUAGCCUCGUAUUUAAAAUAGUCUUUGUACCUAGCAGUAUCCUGAGUACGGCGGGACACGUGAAAUCCCGUCGGAAUCUGGGAGGACCAUCUCCCAACCCUAAAUACUCCCUAGUGACCGAUAGUGAACCAGUACCGUGAGGGAAAGGUGAAAAGCACCCCGGGAGGGGAGUGAAAUAGAACCUGAAACCGUGUGCCUACAACAAGUUCGAGCCCGUUAAUGGGUGAGAGCGUGCCUUUUGUAGAAUGAACCGGCGAGUUACGUUAUGAUGCGAGGUUAAGUUGAAGAGACGGAGCCGUAGGGAAACCGAGUCUGAAUAGGGCGCCUUAGUAUCAUGACGUAGACCCGAAACCAUGUGACCUACCCAUGAGCAGGUUGAAGGUGCGGUAAGACGCACUGGAGGACCGAACCAGGGCACGUUGAAAAGUGCUUGGAUGACUUGUGGGUAGCGGAGAAAUUCCAAACGAACUUGGAGAUAGCUGGUUCUCUCCGAAAUAGCUUUAGGGCUAGCGUCGACAUUAGAGAUUCUUGGAGGUAGAGCACUGUUUGGGUGAGGGGUCCAUCCCGGAUUACCAAUCUCAGAUAAACUCCGAAUGCCAAUGAAUUAUGGUCGGCAGUCAGACUGCGAGUGCUAAGAUCCGUAGUCGAAAGGGAAACAGCCCAGACCACCAGCUAAGGUCCCAAAAUAAUUGUUAAGUGGAAAAGGAUGUGGGGUUGCACAGACAACUAGGAUGUUAGCUUAGAAGCAGCUAUUCAUUCAAAGAGUGCGUAAUAGCUCACUAGUCGAGUGACCCUGCGCCGAAAAUGUACCGG
rnacentral:rRNA from 1 species